AGAAGUUGAGGGCUUAAACAGGCUGUGUUCUACCCUUAAAAUAUAUAUAUUUCAUUUUUUUUUUUAAGUGAUUAGUAUUCUCUGCUUUUUCCUUCUCUUUCAUAUCCUAAAGGCUAGUGAGAGCAUGCAUAGGUAAGGGUGUAUAUAUAUUUACCUGGAAGAUCUGAUACUCCUGAGGGAUUUGAUAUUUGCUGGAAGCUUCUUCUUUUCCCCUUGAGGUGAAGUGCAACUACUUUGUGACAGAGCUUGGAAACAAAUGGAAGUAGGGCAAAAAUAAAAAACACAAAAGCCUGGGAGGACAGAAAACCUCAAGCUGUGAAGUUGAAGCUGCAGGUUGUGAGAGAGAGGCGUCACCCAAGAAUUCAUAUUAAUGCCAGAAAAACCCAAACCCACCUUUUACUUGCUCACAGUCCUUCACAUCAAAGGAACCCAUCGUUUCUUCCAUGCAAAUGCUGUGGGGAUUGCUUCACCCAGGACUGGAAAGCAGCCAAGCUGCAUAGCAUAAUAGCUACUCUGCAGUCCACAGCAAUGUUAUAUACCACUAAGAACCAGGAGUGGAUUGCUGGCUUUAAAUCUGAUACACAUUUGCAGCAAACAUUGAGAAAGCAUUUAAUUUCUGGUUUUUGACCAUAUCUUCUUUAAUGUGCAGUUUCAUGAGCCUUAUGGUAUGAACUUGAAUUUCAACUUUUUUCAGGCUCAAUAAUAUUACACAGUCCUACAAACUGCAUGACUACCUGCAGAAUCGCACUGAAUGGUUAAGCUUGGAAGGGACCUCUGGAGGUCAUCUGGUCCAACCACCCUGCUCAAACACACUCUGCCUCAUAACAAGUGCAAAAUGGCAUCCUACCUUUGCAACCCCUGUUAAAGACUCAUCUCAGCUCAUUUAUUGGGCAUUAGGUCAGCUCCUAAUGAAGUUAAGGUUUUUGUUGCUUUCUGGGUUUCUCACAGCAACUCUAGAAGUCCUUAAAAACAGUUAUUUUGCCAUGCAUGAUGUCUCAGGUCACCACACUGAGGAAAAUUCCUUAAUUCUUCCAACCUGAAAUUUCUCUCCAUUGCAGUCCAGUUAAUUUGCAGGCAUUUAAAACCAGCUCUGUAACUUAU